rnacentral:rRNA from 1 species
GAUGAACGCUGGCGGCGUGCCUAAUACAUGCAAGUCGAGCGAACGGACGAGAAGCUUGCUUCUCUGAUGUUAGCGGCGGACGGGUGAGUAACACGUGGAUAACCUACCUAUAAGACUGGGAUAACUUCGGGAAACCGGAGCUAAUACCGGAUAAUAUUUUGAACCGCAUGGUUCAAAAGUGAAAGACGGUCUUGCUGUCACUUAUAGAUGGAUCCGCGCUGCAUUAGCUAGUUGGUAAGGUAACGGCUUACCAAGGCAACGAUGCAUAGCCGACCUGAGAGGGGAUCCGGCCAACUGGGACCUGAGCAACGGUCCAGACUCCAACGGGAGGCAGAGGUGGGAAAACUUCCGCAAGGGGCGAAAGCCUGACGGAGCAACGCGGCGUGGGGGAUGAAGGUCUUCGGAUCGAAAAACCCUGUUAUUAGGGAAAAACAUAUGUGUAAGUAACUGUGCUCAUCUUGACGGUACCAAAGAAGAAAGCCCCGGCUAACUACGU